GACGAACGCUGGCGGCGUGCCUAAUACAUGCAAGUCGACCUUAGUUGCGAACGGGUGAGUAACACUUCGGUAACCUUCCCAUCAGAAGGGGAUAACACGUGGAAACAGGUGCUAUUACCGUAUACUGAUGGAUGGACCUGCGGUGCAUUAGCUAGUUGGUGAGGUAACGGCUCACCAAGGCCACGAUGGCUGUGCGACCUGAGAGGGUGAUCGGCCACAUUGGGACUGUGAGGACGCCCAAACUCCUCAGGGAGGCAGCAGUAGGGAAAGUUCGGCAAUGGACGCAAGUGUGGCCGGGCAAAGCCGGCUGAGUGAAGAAGGUUUUCAAAUCGUAAGACUCUGUUGUUAGAGAAGCGGUAUCUAGCCAGAAAGCCACGGCUAACUACGUGCCAGCAGCCGCGGUAAUUC
rnacentral:rRNA from 1 species